GGGGUCACUACCGCAAGUGAAAUACAACUCGCUUUUAAUAGAGUUGUUCUGCAUUGCACCUUGUGUGACUGACGUUCGACGUACGUUUUCUAAACGAUGUGAAACGUCGACGUCAACGGCGUCGUAAUAUGUAAAAACUCGCAAACAUUCAAUUAGAAUAGCGGGUAUCACACAGAUUAGUGCAUGGGAUACCGCAAUAGAACGAGCUUUCCUAUUGUUCUCACGCUGGGACGUAUCCGUACAUGCGCUGCAACGUAGACCUUACCAGUUCCCCAGCCAUAUCUAGGAUUUAAGGGACACGUGCAAUGGCCCAGGUCUCAAAUCGUGCGUGGAUACACUUCGCUUUAUGCCGGAAGGGGCCAGCCACCUGAAGUUAUAUCCAACAACGAAGUCUGUUGUUACCAUCAUAAACGGGAAUAGCCGAACUAAGGCUCAAUGAGAAGAGCAGGCGUAAAUGUUUGAGGAUAUAAGCAUGCGCACGGUUACCCAAGUAAAUGAAUAAACGAACGCUCUCAACAUCAGUUGAGCGUGAGCUUCAGAAGAUCGACGGCAGCGGUAGCAGGAGACGCAAAACGAGGGAAAGCAGGCGAACGAAACAGAAAAACGGGAACGCAAUAGAAUUUAUUCCCAUAGGAAAGCGUAAACUGGA